rnacentral:lncRNA from 1 species
CUAAGUGGCAUGAACCACCAUUAUUAACACAAUAUUGCCUUGAAAGUUCUACAAUAGCUCUGGCAGCAAGGCUUGAAUGUUUUGCAAACUCAGCCGCUGCUUGAGCAGCAGAGGUAGCAUCCUUAAAUUUCAUGUUCCAAUUCUGGCGGCCAACAGAAAAAUUACCAUUACCAUCUCCAGGGAAUGAUUGACUAUGUUCCAACCUUUCAUCCUUGAAACCUAAGUGGCAUGAACCACCAUCAUUAAUACAAUAUUGCCUUGAAAGUUCUACAACAACUGUAGCAGCUAGGCUUGCAUGUUUUGCAAAGUCAGUCGCUGCUUGAGCAGCAUAGGUAGCAUGCUUAAAUUUCAUGUUAAAAUUCUACUUGCCAACAGAAAACUUACCAUUACCAUCUCCAGGGAAUUAUUGCCCGUGUUCCAACCUUUCAUCCUUGAAACCUAAGUGGCAUUAACCACCAUCAUCAACACAAUAUUGCCUUGAAAGUUCUACAACAGCUCUGGCACCUAGGCUUGCAUAUUUUGCAAACUUAGCCGCUGCUUGAGUAGCAGAGGUUGCAUCCUUAAAU